rnacentral:lncRNA from 1 species
CCGGUAAGUACAGCAAAAAGAGAUAAAAGAAAACCAUGUUUCCAAAUGUAGAAAAUCCAUAAGAUCUUACAGAAACCAAGCCUUGCAAAUAGAACUUGAAAAAGACAAAUCAACACAAUACCAUUCUAAAAAAAAAAAAGUGCCCCACAGAGAUAAAUUUUCAAGCAAUUCAGAAUCCAAAUAAUUGUUGAAACACAUAAUCUCCACCGUCAAGGUUCUUCCUUCAGAACUACAUUGCUAGGUUAAAGUGCGAAAUCCCCUAUUCGUACCGAAACCUCUGCUACGCAAACACUUGAUCCACUCGAACUCUAAAACCAUGCAGUGGUGUGAAUCUCUGAUCUGCCAAGAAUGACCGGAAGUCGAAGAAGUACCGUUUUGGAUUCAGAGCGAUAUCCCUCUCCGAUGCCAACGUCAAUU